rnacentral:rRNA from 1 species
UACGAAGGGGGCUAGCGUUGCUCGGAAUCACUGGGCGUAAAGCGCACGUAGGCGGCUUCUAAGUCAGGGGUGAAAUCCUGGAGCUCAACUCCAGAACUGCCUUUGAUACUGGAGAGCUUGAGUCCGGGAGAGGUGAGUGGAACUCCGAGUGUAGAGGUGAAAUUCGUAGAUAUUAGGAAGAACACCGGUGGCGAAGGCGGCCCACUGGUCCGGUACUGACGCUGAGGUGCGAAAGCGUGGGGAGCAAACAGGG